UAACGCGUGAGUAACCUGCCUCAUACAGGGGAAUAACAGUUAGAAAUGACUGCUGAUGCCGCAUAAGCGCACAGGGCCGCAUGGCCCGGUGUGAAAAACUCCGGUGGUAUGAGAUGGACUCGCGUCUGAUUAGCUAGUUGGCAGGGUAACGGCCUACCAAGGCGACGAUCAGUAGCCGGCCUGAGAGGGUGAACGGCCACAUUGGGACUGAGACACGGCCCAA
rnacentral:rRNA from 1 species